rnacentral:rRNA from 1 species
UGGGUUUAAAGGGUGCGUAGGCGGCCUGUUAAGUMGCGGUGAAAUCUAGGAGCUUAACUCCUAAAUUGCCAUUGAUACUGGCGGGCUUGAGUGUAGAUGAGGUAGGCGGAAUGCGUGGUGUAGCGGUGGAAUGCAUAGAUAUCACGCAGAACUCCGAUUGCGAAGGCAGCUUACUAAGGUACAACUGACGCUGAAGCACGAAAGCGUGGGUAUCAAACAGGAUUAGAUACCCUGGUAGUCCACGCAGUAAACGAUGAUAACUGGGCGUAUGCGAUAUACAGUAUGCUCCUAAGCGAAAGCGUUAAGUUAUCCACCUGGGGAGUACGCCGGCAACGGUGAAACUCAAAGGAAUUGACGGGGGCCCGCACAAGCGGAGGAACAUGUGGUUUAAUUCGAUGAUACGCGAGGAACCUUACCCGGGAUUGAAAUGUAGAUGACCGCCGGUGAAAGUCGGCUUCCCUUCGGGGCAUCUAUGUAGGUGCUGCAUGGUUGUCGUCAGCUCGUGUCGUGAGAAG